AAUCAGUAUAGUCAGUAGUACAUAUUUUUUGUACUAGUUGUCGGACUAUAAAUAAUAUCCUGACGAAUUUAUCAAGACAGUUUCCUUAAUUAUUUUUUUGGGACUCUACAAUCAAAAAUCUGUUGGAUGCGAUAAGGUUUUUAGAAGGCAAAUCGAUUAUUUAAAGAAUCUUACACAGUAAUAAAAAAUCAGUGUGAACAAAAUUAAUUUAAGUAAAAGAGCAUCUAUUAAAAACGUUUUUUUCGGUUUUGUGAUUUUUUUGAACGAUUAUGAGACAAAUACGGUCUGUACUAGGUCCUAUAUUUCAUGUGGGUUUUGUGGCCCACCAUUUGGUAACUUUCAGACACUCUCAUGAGAUCCACAAAACUCUCCUUCAGAUGGACAUUGAUAAAACUGACCAGAGAAUUUUGGAUAUGAAGAAUUUCGGCGCCGUGUUUUUCACAAACUGGAAUUUGGUUAUUCAAACAAUUUACUUUUCAAUGGCCGUAUGGUACGAUAUUCUGAACAUUUUCGGACUCAAAUCUGAGUUAAAAAAAGGAAAACUGGACCGUUGGAAAGGGUUUCUAUUUACCAGUUUUGUGUUCCCGUGCUCAGUUUUCGUCUCUGCCUUAUUUUGGAGUGUAUACUCGAUCAACAGAGAAUGGGUUCUUCCUGAAGUUUGUGAUGAAUAUGUUCCUGAAUGGUUGAACCACUCGGUACACACCAAUGUAACCGUGUUUCUUAUCAUAGAAGUACUGAUAACCAAUCAACUUCUUCCAAGCUUCAAAUCAGCAUUUACAGCCCUUACAGUAUUAACAAUAAUAUAUGAUCUCAUGUAAGCUUUACUGACGUUAUGUUAUAGAAAAAUACCAAACGAUCAAAAAAAUAAUGGCGUCAGAGAUGACUUGGAACUGGAGAUCGCUGUCAUUUUAUUCUUCGUUACAUAUUUUACUUACGGAAGAUGGAUCUACGGAUUAUUUCAUGUGUUCACCUGGCCAGAAAGGAUCUUCUUUAUAUUAUUCAACUAUUGUUUCUCAAUUGUAAUUAUGAAAAUAGGCAUAG